rnacentral:rRNA from 1 species
GAUGAACGCUGGCGGCGUGCCUAAUACAUGCAAGUCGAGCGAACAGACGAGGAGCUUGCUCCUCUGACGUUAGCGGCGGACGGGUGAGUAACACGUGGAUAACCUACCUAUAAGACUGGGAUAACUUCGGGAAACCGGAGCUAAUACCGGAUAAUAUAUUGAACCGCAUGGUUCAAUAGUGAAAGACGGUUUUGCUGUCACUUAUAGAUGGAUCCGCGCCGCAUUAGCUAGUUGGUAAGGUAACGGCUUACCAAGGCGACGAUGCGAAGCCGACCUGAGAGGGUGAUCGGCCACACUGGAACUGAGACACGGUCCAGACUCCUACGGGAGGCAGCAGUAGGGAAUCUUCCGCAAUGGGCGAAAGCCUGACGGAGCAACGCCGCGUGAGUGAUGAAGGUCUUCGGAUCGUAAAACUCUGUUAUUAGGGAAGAACAAAUGUGUAAGUAACUAUGCACGUCUUGACGGUACCUAAUCAGAAAGCCACGGCUAACUACGUG